rnacentral:rRNA from 1 species
UACGUAGGGGGCUAGCGUUGUCCGGAAUCAUUGGGCGUAAAGCGCACGUAGGCGGACCAUCAAGUCGGUUGUGAAAUCCCUCGGCUUAACCGAGGACGUGCAUUCGAAACUGAUGGCCUUGAGUACGAAAGAGGAUCGCGGAAUUCCCGGUGUAGAGGUGAAAUUCGUAGAUAUCGGGAGGAACACCAGCGGCGAAGGCGGCGACCUGGGUGGAUACUGACGCUGAGGUGCGAAAGCGUGGGGAGCAAACAGGG